UUCUGUUAGGAAACUUUUUUUCCCCUUGAGUUGUUAAAGUUAUUACACAAAGGCAAAAUUAGAACAUUUUCUGGACUCAACCUUGAACAGAUAAGAUCAUGCAGUUGAUAGAGCCGGAUAGAUGGUUGGAAGAGCUUUCUUACCGAUAAGGUAUUGGAUAAAAGCUUUACAGAUGACUCCAAAGUCAAUGUGGAAGGCAAUGAGGAGGAUCUUUCCAAGAGAUGAAGCAAUAAGAUAAAGAAAAAAGGAACCAUUAAUUGGCCUGGAAAAAGAUAGAGGAAGCAGAUAACAUCAAUCACUUGGGAAUGGUAUGAAUAACCAUCACAUGAAACCAGAUGACAUCAUGCAAUAUGUUUAUCAUUACUUCUCACAUACAUUAUGUGUUAUUGUAGCUUGUGAACCACAAGGAAGACAAUAACCAAGAAGCAACAAGACACUAGAAUGAACAGGGCAGGGGAGAAUUUGAAUACUAUAAAAUUCUAAAUGCCAAAUAAGAAUUUGAAUAAUAAUACUAAAUGAGAAUAUUAAAAUCCUAAAUAAGAAUACUAAAAAAGAAAUGUCAGUGAGCACUGAUACACAUAUUAGAUGCUAUCAUUCAUCUCAUUUGUCUUCUAUUAGUCUAACAUCCUGAAGCAAUGAACAGAGCUUCCAGAGGUCAGGAACCAUAUCUGUUUAAACUAGUUGCUUUGGCGCUCAAUAUAGCACCACUGUGAGGGGGAGGCCAUAUCUUAUCUCAGUUUCCCAGCUUUCUCAACAUUUAGAGUUCUCCAU
rnacentral:lncRNA from 1 species